GACGAACGCUGGCGGCGUGCUUAACACAUGCAAGUCGAACGGAAAGGCCCUGCUUGCAGGGUACUCGAGUGGCGAACGGGUGGGUAACACGUGGGUGGUCUGCCCUGCACUUCGGCAUAGGCCUGUUCAACUGGGUCUAAUACCUGACAGGAGCCAUAUUUAGUGUGAUGGUUGGAAAGUUUUGUCGGUUUAGGAUGAGCUUGCUGGCUAUCGGCUUGUUGGGGUGGUAAUGUCGUACCGAGGCGGCUACGGGUAGCCGGACUGAGAGGGUGGACGGCGACACUGGGACUUAGGUGAGGCCCAGACUGCGACGCGAGGCAGAAGGGGGGAAUCUUGACCGAGGGGCGCAAGCCUGAUGCUGAGACGCCGCGGGGCGGAUGACGGUGUUAGGGUUGUAAAAUCAUUGCGCUAGGAACGAAGCUUGUUGUGACGGUACCUAGAUAAAAAGCCCCGGCUAACUACGUG
rnacentral:rRNA from 1 species